UACGUAGGGGCUAGCGUUAUCCGGAUUUACUGGGCGUAAGGGGUGCGUAGGCGGUCUUUCAAGUCAGGAGUGAAAGGCUACGGCUCAACCGUAGUAAGCUUUUGGAACAGUAAGACUUGAGUGCAGGAGAGGAGAGUGGAAUUCCUAGUGUAGCGGUGAAAUGCGUAGAUAUUAGGAGGAACACCAGUAGCGAAGGCGGCUUUCUGGACUGUAACUGACACUGAGGCACGAAAGCGUGGGGAGCAAACAGGAUUAGAUACCCUGGUAGUCCCUGA
rnacentral:rRNA from 1 species